GACGAAGAACGUAGCGAAAUGCGAUAAGUAAUGUGAAUUGCAGAAUUCAGUGAAUCAUCGAAUCUUUGAACGCACAUUGCGCCCGCCAGUAUUCUGGCGGGCAUGCCUGUUCGAGCGUCAUUUCAACCAUCAAGCCCCAGGCUUGUGUUGGAGCCCUGCGGCUGCCGCAGCCUCCCAAAACCAGUGGCGGGCUCGCUAUCACACCGAGUGCAGUAGUUUACUCUUCGCUCAGGGCGUGUGGCGGGUGCUAGCCGUAAAACCCCCAACUUCUCAAGGUUGACCUCGGAUCAGGUAGGAAUACCCGCUGAACUUAAGCAUAUCAAUAAGCGGAGGA
rnacentral:misc_RNA from 1 species